rnacentral:misc_RNA from 1 species
GAUGAAGAACGUAGCGAAAUGCGAUAAGUAGUGUGAAUUGCAGAAUUCAGUGAAUCAUCGAAUCUUUGAACGCACAUUGCGCCCCUUGGUAUCCCGAGGGGCAUGCCUGUUCGAGCGUCAUUUCACCACUCAAGCCUGGCUUGGUGUUGGGCGACGUCCCCUUUGGGGACGCGCCUCGAAACGCUCGGCGGCGUGGCACCGGCUUUAAGCGUAGCAGAAUCUUUCGCUUUGGAAGUCGGGGCUCCGUCUGCCGGAAGACCUACUCGCAAGGUUGACCUCGGAUCAGGCAGGGAUACCCGCUGAACUUAAGCAUAUCAAUAAGCGGAGGA